GCCUUCGUAGUGUAGUGGUCAGCACGCUCGGCGCGUAUUCGAGAGGUCCGUGGUUCGAGUCCCGCCGAGGCCG
rnacentral:tRNA from 1 species